UACGGAGGGUGCAAGCGUUAUCCGGAUUCACUGGGUUUAAAGGGUGCGUAGGAGGGCAGGGAAGUCAGUGGUGAAAUCUCCGGGCUUAACUCGGAAACUGCCGUUGAUACUCUCUGUCUUGAAUCCCGUGGAGGUGAGCGGAAUAUGUCAUGUAUCGGUGAAAUGCUUAGAUAUGACAUAGAACACCGAUUGCGAAGGCAGCUCGCUACACGAAGAUUGACUCUGAGGCACGAAAGCGUGGGGAUCAAACAGG
rnacentral:rRNA from 1 species